rnacentral:rRNA from 1 species
UGGGGAAUAUUGCACAAUGGGCGCAAGCCUGAUGCAGCCAUGCCGCGUGUGUGAAGAAGGCCUUCGGGUUGUAAAGCACUUUCAGCGAGGAGGAAGGUGGUGAACUUAAUACGUUCAUCAAUUGACGUUACUCGCAGAAGAAGCACCGGCUAACUCCGUGCCAGCAGCCGCGGUAAUACGGAGGGUGCAAGCGUUAAUCGGAAUUACUGGGCGUAAAGCGCACGCAGGCGGUUUGUUAAGUCAGAUGUGAAAUCCCCGGGCUCAACCUGGGAACUGCAUUUGAAACUGGCAAGCUAGAGUCUCGUAGAGGGGGGUAGAAUUCCAGGUGUAGCGGUGAAAUGCGUAGAGAUCUGGAGGAAUACCGGUGGCGAAGGCGGCCCCCCUGGACGAAGACUGACGCUCAGGUGCGAAAGCGUGGGGAGCAAACAGGAUUAGAUACCCCUGGUAGGUCCACGCUGUAAACGAUGUCGAUUUGGAGGUUGUGCCCUUGAGGCGUGGCUUCCGGAGCUAACGCGUU